CGUGUAGGCGGUCGAGUAAGUCAGAUGUGAAAGCCUUCCGCUUAACGGAAGAAGUGCAUUUGAAACUGCUCGGCUGGAGUACGGGAGAGGAGAGUGGAAUUCCCGGUGUAGAGGUGAAAUUCGUAGAUAUCGGGAGGAACACCAGUGGCGAAGGCGGCUCUCUGGUCCGAUACUGACGCUGAGACGCGAAAGCGUGGGGAGCAAACAGGAUUAGAUACCCUGGUAGUCCACGCCGUAAACGAUGGGCACUAGGUGUAGGAGGUAUUGACCCCUUCUGUGCCGAAGCUAACGCAUUAAGUCGCCCCGCCUGGGGAGUACGGCCGCAAGGCUAAA
rnacentral:rRNA from 1 species